UCCAGCGAGGCUCGCCGGAGAAGACAAUCGGAGCUCUAGCUUCGGUGAUGAUGUGUUUGAGGUCUAGGCCGUGUGAUCCAAUUCUUGUGUUCUAAUCUUGACUGUGCAUUGUGAUUAACAAGUUUACAACGCAGUUGACUAGUGCCUUGGUGGAACGCGCGCUGUGGAUUAUCAGAUCUGCCACCUCAAUUAAUGAGGGAGAUCUGAUGGCCCACGUUUUUUUCGCAAUUUCUAAUUUUCC
rnacentral:lncRNA from 1 species